GGGUGCCAUGUCACAGUGCUGCCCCAAGACAGCCCCGCCCUGAACUGUGCAGGUCCAGAACAGAGGCGCUGCUAGUGGAGGGGACAGCUUGAGGUGACUCAGCAGGGACAGUUUGUUCACUCCAGCAGGCUGGCUUUGGGAUGGACUGGGCUGGGCUGGGCUGUGCUGGCCGGCGGGCAGUGGGGAUGGCGAGUUAGGGCCUGUAGGGGGAUAGGCAAGAGAAUCCCUGGCCUUCAUCCGUGGGCAAAGCCAAGCCACCUGAGGGGCUUUGCCCCGUUGAAGGAGAAGCACAUGUGGUAAUGGCCUGUUGUGGGGCCCACAUGGCCAGAUGCACCCUGGCUCUGGCCCCCCGGACACUGGUGAGGCCUGGUCAGGGACUUGAGGGACAGAAGAUGAAAGGACCCGGGCAUCCUGCCUUCCAGCACUGUGAUACAUCCCGUACAAGGCGCCUCCAUGCCCUGCCCAGGUGCUGCCACAGGCCGGGGCCCUCAGGAGGAGCUGCUGUUGGUCUGCUCUGCCACAGCCGUGGGCCACAGCUGAGGGCUUCUGCAGAGACAGGCAUGAGGUCACCAGGGUCCUGGGCCAUAAUAGGUCAACAGUGCAGCCCCAAGGAGAUGUUCCCGCAGCUCCACAUCGAGGGCGCCACUUGCUGCAGGUGGGUGACAGUGUCCCCAAGAUACCCCUGGCCCUCCACAGGCUUUUUGACUGGAAGUGUCUUUUUUUUUCUCAAAGCAGGAAUAAGAAACAGAAUAUUUAUCAUCAUCUCCCAGCAACAGCACCAACACCUGAAUAAAGAACUCGUCAGUUUUUCCUGCUCAGCGGCUGGUUUAUCUUAAACUGUCGAAGUUGAUAGCCCAAUCCACUUUUUGAUGUAACUAUGAUGGUUUUAGGAGAUUUAGACAUGAUUUUUUAUAGCACGAGAAAGAAAAAUAGAACUGAAUAUAUGAUAA
rnacentral:lncRNA from 1 species